rnacentral:pre_miRNA from 1 species
CAACUACUCCCUCUGUCCCAAAUUUCUUGUCUUAGAUUUGUCUAGAUACGGAUGUAUCUAAUACUAAAAUGUGACUUGAUACAUCUGUAUCUAGAGAAAUCUAAGACAAGAAUUUUGGGAUGGAGGAAGUACUUU